AGCCACAACAACCAGAUCACUCUACCAGGGCUCAAGUUACAGCCGCUCAAUCUCAGGCUGGGUAACAGACACCCUCUGCCCCCAGGCUGUGCAGUCAGUUUGGGCUUGGACUGGGAGGCAGGAAUGUCUCUGCACUGGAAUUCAUUGCAGACUGGGGAGAUGAAUCCAAGACUCAGAGCUCCGGAAAUGCAGCUAUUCCCAAGUUCCUGCCUCCAGGUUCCUGCCUCGAGUUCCUGCUCUGGUUUCCCUCAAUGCUGGACUGUAAUCUCAGGGAGGAGACCAGCCUGGAAACCAAAGGGGCCGAAGUUUCAGCUGCUGCCCGGCUCCAUCACACUCCCAGAAUAGCGCACUGGUUCCCGGCAGCCCAAGCUACACCGCAGCUGGGCUUCCAGUGAGAGAGACAGUUAAGCCCCACCAGUAAUGGGAACAGCUGGCACUGGACAUAGCCCAGAAGCCAGCUGGCUGGCCCUGCCCUGCCAUAUCCCACCCUGCCUUGCUGGAGGCACCAUUUCUAGUGAGUGUAGAUACGUCUGGCCUCCCUAUGGUCCCCUGGCUCUCCCCCCAUCACCAGGGGUCUGGGUGACCUCAAAUUCCAGGUGAGGGGGUAGGCAAUGUCUGGGUCUUUUUUUUUUUAAUAAAUAAUUCA